UACCAUGCAGUCGACGGUGAAGCCCCGCUUGCGGGGUGGAUCAGUGGCGAACGGGUGAGUAACACGUGAGCAACCUGCCCCUGACUCUGGGAUAAGCGCUGGAAACGGCGUCUAAUACUGGAUACGAGACGUGAUCGCAUGGUCAACGUUUGGAAAGAUUUUUCGGUUGGGGAUGGGCUCGCGGCCUAUCAGCUUGUUGGUGAGGUAAUGGCUCACCAAGGCGUCGACGGGUAGCCGGCCUGAGAGGGUGACCGGCCACACUGGGACUGAGACACGGCCCAGACUCCUACGGGAGGCAGCAGUGGGGAAUAUUGCACAAUGGGCGCAAGCCUGAUGCAGCAACGCCGCGUGAGGGAUGACGGCCUUCGGGUUGUAAACCUCUUUUAGCAGGGAAGAAGCGAGAGUGACGGUACCUGCAGAAAAAGCACCGGCUAACUACGUGCCAGCAGCCGCGGUAAUACGUAGGGUGCAAGCGUUAUCCGGAAUUAUUGGGCGUAAAGAGCUCGUAGGCGGUUUGUCGCGUCUGCUGUGAAAUCUGGGGGCUCAACCCCCAGCCUGCAGUGGGUACGGGCAGACUAGAGUGCGGUAGGGGAGAUUGGAAUUCCUGGUGUAGCGGUGGAAUGCGCAGAUAUCAGGAGGAACACCGAUGGCGAAGGCAGAUCUCUGGGCCGUAACUGACGCUGAGGAGCGAAAGGGUGGGGAGCAAACAGGCUUAGAUACCCUGGUAGUCCACCCCGUAAACGUUGGGAACUAGUUGUGGGGUCCAUUCCACGGAUUCCGUGACGCAGCUAACGCAUUAAGUUCCCCGCCUGGGGAGUACGGCCGCAAGGCUAAAACUCAAAGGAAUUGACGGGGACCCGCACAAGCGGCGGAGCAUGCGGAUUAAUUCGAUGCAACGCGAAGAACCUUACCAAGGCUUGACAUAUACGAGAACGGGCCAGAAAUGGUCAACUCUUUGGACACUCGUAAACAGGUGGUGCAUGGUUGUCGUCAGCUCGUGUCGUGAGAUGUUGGGUUAAGUCCCGCAACGAGCGCAACCCUCGUUCUAUGUUGCCAGCACGUAAUGGUGGGAACUCAUGGGAUACUGCCGGGGUCAACUCGGAGGAAGGUGGGGAUGACGUCAAAUCAUCAUGCCCCUUAUGUCUUGGGCUUCACGCAUGCUACAAUGGCCGGUACAAUGGGCUGCAAUACCGUGAGGUGGAGCGAAUCCCAAAAAGCCGGUCCCAGUUCGGAUUGAGGUCUGCAACUCGACCUCAUGAAGUCGGAGUCGCUAGUAAUCGCAGAUCAGCAACGCUGCGGUGAAUACGUUCCCGGGUCUUGUACACACCGCCCGUCAAGUCAUGAAAGUCGGUAACACCUGAAGCCGGUGGCCUAACCCUUCGGGGAGGGAGCUGUCGAAGGUGGA
rnacentral:rRNA from 1 species